rnacentral:snoRNA from 15 species
UUAAAAUGAUGGUGAUCAAAUGUCUGGCCUGAAAUGAACAUGUAGAAAAAUUUAAUACUGAAGAA